GUGAACAAGGCCUAAAGGGAGCGAGGCUGUCUGAGCAGCUUCCAGCCCAGCUUUAUUGCCUGCUGCCGUAUCUCUUCUCCAGGUCGCAAAGCAACGUCAACGUAACAUGUGCUCCGAGAGCAAAGCUGACAUUUGUGGCCUCAGCAGCCAGGAAAGCUGACAAACCUGAGCAUCUGCAUUUGCAAUCUCCACUGCUCCAUAAAAGACAAGUGCUGUAUCUCCUUCCAGGGGCUGAAGAGAGGCAAGGUAGAGCAGGACACUUCAUUCAGCCCCAGUUUCACUAAAUGCAGAAGACAAAUCCUGUUGACCUGAUGUUACCCACUCACAAAAACUGGAAAACUCCAGCAAUAUUGCUGUCUUGCAGAUUUAUUCCUACCUGGCACUACUGCUUAGAAACUGCCUAAUUAACAGGCAGUUAAACCAGCAGAGUGAAACACGGCAAUUUGUGUGUAACAAAUUCAUGAACAGCAGGCAAACAUAGGGUGCUGGGCAUAGCAGGGCCACAAUUGCAAUAACUGACUACGAAUGUUCAUGAUGGAAGAGGACAGCAGACAGGAAGCUUUCAAGUCAAGGCAAAGAACAGAACCAGAAGCAAAGAUUGCAGGCUAAUCUGCCCAGCAAUUAGUCUAAGUAGCAUCAAAUCCCUAUUUUAAAUCCCUCCUGUAGUAACAUUUGGAGACCACUAUUUUCCACUUUUGGGCACUGUGGGGUUUCUGCAUGCUAUUAUGUUGUCGAUGCAUCCAGCUCUGGAAAUGGCUGCAUUUCAGUACUAACUGAAACACCCCCAAGCGUCAUUUAAGAAGCUUGAAGACCAUUUUCCUGAAAUGAAAUGGCCUUGACAAACAGUAGAUGUUGCUUUGACCUCCAACCCAUCCUUGGCCACACAACCUCCCAGUCCACUUUUCUCUUUUCCGUAACACCCAGCAGCAGGAUCCAGCACUCCAAUACCCUGACAGAAGAAGAAAGCAGAUAUCUUUCCCCCAGGAGUUGGGAUCUGUGCAUGGUAAACACAUAGAGAAGUCUCACUCAGGCCCUUGCCUGCCAUGGAAGCCUGUCUGGGAGAAAGGGGUGAAAGCCAGAAGCUUGCAAUCCUUCACUGCAGGAAUUUUGGCCUGUGGGUACAGUUGGCUGCAUUGAGGCAGCGCACCUUGCACACAGCUGAGGAUCAGCUGCAUAAUGUCUGUAGGCAAGUACAUGAAGCAGGGAGAGAGGGAGAGUUUACUGCUUCAACUUGACAUGCACUUGGAGAACUGCAGAUUCCAACUUAUCUCCCACUUUGAACCCCAGGGACAUUCAAUUCCUGACCCAGAUCCAGAACCAGACUUCAGGAUUUGCUCCCAGCUCUCUGAUCUCAACAUUAAUUUGGCUACAGGCAAGUCCAUAAUUACAAAAUGCAAAAAUUGCAUCAUUGAUAAAAUUUAAAAUUGUAGUUUUCCUUAUAUUAGCUAUUCUCUGUCCUUUUUUUGAAAGUGAUUUUUUUGAGAUGCGUGCAGUCAUGGGUGUGGGCAGAUCUGUACCCACACUACCACAGAAUUUCAUCCACUCCUGACAGUUAAAAAAGUCCCAGCCUUUGAUACUUCUAACCUCAGCACAGUUGGGACAUGCAGCUUCCAGAGCCUUCAGCCAACCUCUCCUUCCUGCCACCAAGACCUUUGUAUGAAAGAACUCAGUCAAGAUCAUAAGAUCAUAAUCAAGUAUGUA